GAACUCACACAACACACACAACACACAACACACACAACACAACAACAAUUACACACCAACACCACACCACAUACCUACAAUACCAACAAACACCACACCACCAAAACACAUCAAAGACAACACAAACAGCCAACAUCAUACGCAAUAGGGGGAAACCAAAAAACAAAUUAUUUUCAGAACACAAAACACACGCUAAAAGCCACAAAGCCACACACAGGAGACAUCAGACGCCGCUCUCACAGGCAAAUACACCACCAACGGACUGAGAACGCCCCAGCACCCUCAGACCACAGCCAAGGGGCACCUUCCCAAUGGGGCCAACCCAUAUCCACCCCCCCACACGUGUAUGAAGAAGGCUUUCAGAAGAAAAGACUUUUGUUAAGGAAGAAAAGGGAAGUGCUAAUCCACUAUUUGAUGACGGUACCAAAAGAAUAAGCACAGGCUCACUACGUGCCAGCAGCCGCGGUAAUACGUAGGGUGCGAGCGUUAAUCGGAAUAACAGGGCGUAAAGCGAGCGCAGACGGUUAUUUAAGCAGGAUGAGAAAUCCCCGGGCUUAACCUGGGAACUGCGUUCUGAACGGAUAGCUAGAGUGUGUCAGAGGGGGGUAGAAUUCCACGUGUAGCAGUGAAAUGCGUAGAGAUGUGGAGGAAUACCGAUGGCGAAGGCAGCCCCCUGGGAUAACACUGACGUUCAUGCUCGAAAGCGUGGGUAGCAAACAGG
rnacentral:rRNA from 1 species